rnacentral:lncRNA from 1 species
CCACUCACCUUCAGAUCCGCCAUGCUGACGGCCCGGGCCCUGCCCCCACCCCAGCUCUGCGCUCAGCCAGCCUGACUCUCUCCGAGCUAGCUGCGGCGUCCUCCUACCUCCAGGCCUUCAGGCGGGCCAGUCAUCCCAUCUAGAACAACUAGACCUUCCGUCCUCACGCAGGCCGGUUCCCUGAUCUGGAGCAGUGCCCUCAUCCUUUAUCUGGAUAACUCUCACCAACCUCCAGGUGCUGGGCAGGCCCAGGGAGACGCGGGGACCGGAGAGUGAGCCACUGCCUGUUGGCCCCUCUUGCCUAUGGAGCUGGGCGGCUCUCUCCUAGCUGAGGGGAGGACGAGAGUGCCAAAAAACAGAGAGCCAAGGAGGCAGACCCCAAACUCCAGGAAGCAGAUUCCAUAUCUGAGGCCUCAGUUCCCUUCGUUUUGAGAUGGGAAGAUUCCAACUAGAAGAGGACGCCAGAGAGGAAGGAGAGUUCAGUGGGACUGAGGCUGGGCUCCCGGGAGCCAAGGCCACGGCAGGCACUGGGCGGCAGUAAUGGCUGGGGCAGGUCAGGGUGUGAUGGGGGACACUGAGUUGGGAAGACGAGGAGGUUUCAGGGACUGCUCUGUCCCUUCAUCAGCUCUGCCUUCUGAGAGUCAUUUAACACUGGACACCUCAAGCCUCGUGAUAACAGCCACCAGUGCACCAGAUUUUAGAGCCUUCGGUCAGCCAUUCACAGCAAUCCCCUAGGAAGGGACUCCUCAGCACUUUGUGGACGGAGAGGCGGGGCUUGGCGAGGCGUCAAGGCAGCUGGGCUGCCAGUCUCCGAGUCACACUGGAGCCUCUGCCCCAACUCCUGUCCACGCCACCACAGAGCUCAGUGCUUUCAGGGGAGCCCGCUCCGCCAUCUGCUCCACACCCUCGGAACGCUCUGACCUCACUCAGAACAAAACGUGCGCCCCUCCCAGCCCCUCCACCCACCUCCUCUUCCCGCACUGCCCUCCUUCACUGGCUCAGGGGCCUUUCCCAUCACUGUCCCUGGGACUUUUGUCUGUUCUGUGCACUUCUGAAUGUCUUGCCCUUCAGACAGUGUCCACUGUAGACGCUCAAGUAAGCAUUGUGGAUGGAAGGAAGGCAAGCAGGGAGAGAGGAGGGAAGGAAGGGAGGGAGGAAGGGAGCCCAGGCCCCUUAUUUCCACUACCACCCCCCUCCACACCAUGCAGCCAGCCUUGACCCCGCCCCCUUUUGCAGCACCGUUGCUGAUGUAUUUCUGAUUCUCACAUGCACUUGGUCACUCACAUGCAUAUCAGCCUGAAAGACUGAGAGCCCCAAAGUUAUCUGUUUCUCUCAUAAACUGACAAAUGGAUUUUAGAUUCUGUUAAGUUCCGCAGGACUUUGUUCCACUUGUAAUAAAAAAGAAAGGAAGAAAGGAAAAG